rnacentral:lncRNA from 10 species
UCUGAGUGCAUGUUUUCUUUGUGACUCCCAGCUCUUGUUUCUAACAUAGGCAAUAACAUACAGGACAUAGGAAUGGGCAAAGACUUCAUGACUAAAACACCAAAAGCAACAGCAACAAAAGCCAAAAUUGACAAAUGGGAUCUAAUUAAACUAAAGAGAUUCUGCGCAGCAAAGGAAACUAUCAUCAGAGUGAACAGGCAACCUACAGAAUGGGAGAAAAUUUUUGCAAUCUAUCCAUUUGACAAAGGGCUAAUGUCCAGAAUCUAUAAAGAACUUAAAUUUACAAGAAAAAAACAACCCCAUCAAAAAGCGGGCGAAGGAUAUGAACAGACACUUCUCCAAAGAAGACAUUUAUGCAGCCAACAAACAUGAAAAAUAGCUGAUCAUCACUGGUCAUUAUAGAAAUGCAAAUCAAAACCACAGUAAGAUACUAACUCAUGCCAGUUAGAAUGGCGAUCAUUAAAAAGUCAGGAAACAACAGAUGCUGGAGAGGAUGUGCAGAAAUAGGAAUGCUUUUUAUACUGUUGGUGAAAGUGUAAAUUAGUUCAACCAUUGUGGAAGACAGUGUGGCGAUUCCUCAAGGAUCUAUAGAACCAGAACUACCACAUGACCCAGCAAUCCCAUUACUGGGUAUAUACCCAAAGGAUUAUACAUCAUUCUGCUAUAAAGACACAUGCACACGUACGUUUAUUGCAGCACUAUUUACAAUAGCAAAGACUUGGAAUCAACCCAAAUCCCCGUCAAUGAUAGACUGGAUAAAGACAAUGUGGCACUUAUACACCAUGGAAUACUAUGCAGCCAAAAAAAGGAUGAAUUCAUGUCCUUUGCAGCGACAUGGAUGAAGCUGAAAACCAUCAUUCUCAGCAAACUAACACGAGAACAGAAAACCAAACACUACAUGUUCUCACUCAUAAGUGGGAGUUGAACAAUGAGAACACAUGGACACACGGAGGGGAACACCACACACCAGGGCCUGUCAGGGGGUGGGGAGGCUAGGGGAGGGAUAGCAUUAGGAGAAAUACCUAAUGUAGAUGACAGGUUGAUGGGUCUGACAAACCACCAUGACACGUGUAUACCUAUGUAAUGCAACUGCACAUUUUGCUCAUGUACCCCAGAACUUAAACUAUAA